CCUACGGGAGGCAGCAGUGGGGAAUUUUGGACAAUGGGCGAAAGCCUGAUCCAGCAAUGCCGCGUGUGUGAAGAAGGCCUUCGGGUUGUAAAGCACUUUUGUCCGGAAAGAAAUCCUUGACUCUAAUACAGUCGGGGGAUGACGGUACCGGAAGAAUAAGCACCGGCUAACUACGUGCCAGCAGCCGCGGUAAUACGUAGGGUGCGAGCGUUAAUCGGAAUUACUGGGCGUAAAGCGUGCGCAGGCGGUUUGCUAAGACCGAUGUGAAAUCCCCGGGCUCAACCUGGGAACUGCAUUGGUGACUGGCAGGCUAGAGUAUGGCAGAGGGGGGUAGAAUUCCACGUGUAGCAGUGAAAUGCGUAGAGAUGUGGAGGAAUACCGAUGGCGAAGACAGCCCCCUGGGCCAAUACUGACGCUCAUGCACGAAAGCGUGGGGAGCAAACAGGAUUAGAUACCCUGGUAGUCCACGCCCUAAACGAUGUCAACUAGUUGUUGGGGAUUCAUUUCCUUAGUAACGUAGCUAACGCGUGAAGUUGACCGCCUGGGGAGUACGGUCGCAAGAUUAAAACNCAAAUGAAUUGACGG
rnacentral:rRNA from 1 species